rnacentral:rRNA from 1 species
AGUCUGGUGCCAGCAGCCGCGGUAAUUCCAGCUCCAAUAGCGUAUAUUAAAGUUGUUGCAGUUAAAAAGCUCGUAGUUGAAAUUUUGAUUGUAGCGGUCAGUCUCACAACAGUGAGUGCUAGAUGUGCUGUGGUCAUGUUUCGUUGGAACGUGUGUGGCAUUGAGUUGUCGUGCAUGGGAAGACGAUCGUUUACUGUGAAAAAAUUAGAGUGUUCAAAGCAGGCUUAUGCCGUUGAAUAUAUUAGCAUGGAAUAAUAAGAUAGGACCAGGGUACUAUUUUGUUGGUUUGUGCACCUUGGUAAUGAUUAAUAGGGACAGUUGGGGAUAUUCGUAUUGCGGUGUCAGAGGUGAAAUUCUUGGAUUUCCGCAAGACGAGCUACUGCGAAAGCAUUUAUCAAGGAUGUUUUCAUUGAUCAAGAACGAAAGUUAGGGGAUCGAAGAUGAUUAGAUACCAUCGUAGUCUUAACCAUAAACUAUGCCGACAAGGGAUUGGCAGGGUGUGUUUAUGCCUCUGUCAGCACCUUAGGAGAAAUCAUAAGUUUUUGGGUUCCGGGGGGAGUAUGGUCGCAAGGCUCAAACUUAAAGACAUUGACGGAAGGGCACCACCAGGAGUGGAGCCUGCGGCUUAAUUUGACACAACACGGGAAAACUUACCAGGUCCAGACAUAGUGAGGAUUGACAGAUUGAGAGCUCUUUCUUGAUUCUAUGGGUGGUGGUGCAUGGCCGUUCUUAGUUGGUGGAGUGAUUUGUCUGGUUAAUUCCGUUAACGAACGAGACCCCCGCCUGCUAAAUAGAUGGUCUAGUGAUUUUUCACUGGAAACAUCUUCUUGGGGGGACGUGCGUUCUAUUAGACGCAGGAAGAUGGGGGCAAUAACAGGUCUGUGAUGCCCUUAGAUGUCCUGGGCCGCACGCGCGCUACACUGAUGCAUUCAACGAGUUGCCUUCACCGAGAGGUGUGGGAAAUCUUGGAAUGUGCAUCGUGAUAGGGAUAGAUUCUUGUAAUUUUUAAUCUUGAACGAGGAAUUCCUAGUAAACGCAGAUCAUCAAUCUGCAUUGAUUACGUCCCUGCCCUUUGUACACACCGCCCGUCGCACCUACCGAUUGAAUGGUCCGGUGAAGCCUCGGGAUUGUGGUGACUUUUCUUCAUUGAGAGGUCGUUGCGAGAACUUGUCUAAACCUUAUCAUUUAGAGGAAGGUGAAGUC